rnacentral:lncRNA from 1 species
AUAAUUUUCCAGCUUUGAUUAAGUCUUCAACGUCUUUUGCAAGACGGCAAUUGGUUUAAUAGCGUAGGGGGAUCCAAAAUAAAAAGCUUUCGGUAACUCCAAGUCAGUAUGAUCAGGCAUGUCCGUGGAGGGUCGGUAGUGCGAGGCACACUUAAAACCACUAUCUCCUUAAUUUCGGACAAUUCUAAGACAUCACACUGAACUUGGAUGAGCCUAGUUGAACAAUUGAUGAUGAAAAAUCCGCUAUAGGGUAGAAGACUUAACCGGAAACACGUGGGCGAUCCUCCUUGAGGAUGCAGUGCCAUAAGUCACCUUCAAAGGAAGGGACCAAAAUAGGCACAAUAUGCCAUGUUUCUAAGGACGAUGUAAGUGUACAUCUUGAUUGUAAAUCAAUAUGAACCAUAAGAGGAGAAUAGUUUCACUUCGAAAAAUUCUCAAGGCAUUCAUUAUUGCUAAUGUGAGUACAUCGAGAUCUCAAAUAGACAAAGGACGUCGAUACAACGCCUUAGUACAUAUAACUUGGAACGAAAAUCAAUGUCUAGCCGAUGACAUCAAAGUCAUGGGUAGCUAGAGUAGGAUCCGAAUCUUUGAAAUUCGCGAUCAUGAGGAUGACGUUCUUGUCCUCAUAUUGAUUUUCCAUACCUUUUUGUAUGCAUUCACAAUUUAAAGGAGCUUAACAAUCUUGAACCAGCGAUCCGAAGAUCCACAACGGUUGCAUUAAUGUCAUGAGCUGACGUGAGUAGUUUUGACAAAAUGGUGUCUAAACCGGGAGUGUCGCUAUUAGACCGGCAACACCUCCCCCUCUUUUCUAGACAUCGGCACGACGUUUUCUGCCGUUGCCAUGACCCAUGUUGUUGUCCCCACAUUAGGGGAUAUCCCAAAUAAGUUUAUCACAUUAGCGUAUAUACAAUUCCUGUUUGUAUGAUCAAAAUCAAGUCUCGUUGGUAAUUCCACACCAACUUGGAGGACCUAGAGAACUUGAUGAUGAUCGAAUCCGCUAAAGAUAUGGAUCAUGAUGCCACAAAAGAUCAUCGACAAUAUGUAGUCAAUUAAGGUGGUAAGCAAUCCACUUGACUAAUAACUCAACAAG